CUAUGCCUACGGGGGGCAGCAGUGGGGGAUAUUGCACAAUGGGGGGAACCCUGAUGCAGCGACGCCGCGUGGGUGAAGGAGUAUUUCGGUAUGUAAAGCCCUAUCGGCAGGGAAGAAGAAAGACGGUACCUGACUAAGAAGCCCCGGCUAACUACGUGCCAGCAGCCGCGGUAAUACGUAGGGGGCGAGCGUUAUCCGGAUUCACUGGGUGUAAAGGGAGCGUAGACGGCCAAGCAAGCCAGGGGUGAAAGCCCGGGGCCCAACCCCGGGACUGCCCUUGGAACUGCAUGGCUGGAGUGCGGGAG
rnacentral:rRNA from 1 species